rnacentral:lncRNA from 1 species
CUGGUUUGGUUUUAUGCAAAGAUGGUAUAAAGAUCAGAACUUUAACUUUCGAAAAUAAGAAAGGUUCCUUCAUAGAACAAGUAGUUUUCCACAACAAAGUUGCGUUCCGCACAGCCUGCAUGUUUAAAAUGUAUCUUAAAGCUUCAAAGUUUUUUUUUUUGGAAAUCAUGCUUCUUAGAGAUGUACUAUAUACUUUUGCC